rnacentral:snRNA from 1 species
AGCUUUGCGCAGUGGCAGUAUCGUAGCCAAUGAGGUUUAUCCAAGGCGCAAUUAUUGCUAAAAGUCCUGAGUGUGAAUUCCAAGCCAACUUCAUACUAGAAGUGCUGGUACCAUUCUGCUCUG